GACAGAGGUGCCGAGCGUUAGGCGGAAUCACUGGGCUUAAAGCGUGUGUAGGCGGAUCGUUAAGUACCUUGUGAAAUCCCCCGGCUCAACCGGGGAACUGCUGGGUAUACUGGCGAUCUUGAGCAGCUUAGGGGCAGACGGAACAAGUGGUGGAGCGGUGAAAUGCGUAGAUAUCACUUGGAACGCCGACGGUGAAAACAGUCUGCUGGGAGCUUGCUGACGCUGAGACACGAAAGCCAGGGGAGCGAACGGG
rnacentral:rRNA from 1 species